rnacentral:tRNA from 1 species
GGCUCAUUGGUCUAGAAGUAUGAUUCUCACUUAGGGUGUGAGAGGUCGCGGGUUCAAAUCCCGGACGAGCCC